UGAAGUCCCUAGCGUCUUGUAUAAGCAACUUUUCAUUCGAUAUUACAACGAGAUCUCCUCAAGUCUCGACCCUUCCCGCACUUUCUCAGCAACCCUAACCCUAACAGCUGAGUCAUGAGAAUUACAUUCGCAUCCAAGCAAAUUUUUCCGAUUUAGUUUUUUGUUAACGAUUUUUCGAUGUCAUUGUUGACUGAGCUUAUUCUUUUGCUCCAUAGCAUCGACAUACGCUGACAAUGUCCAAUACGUUCGAAAUUUUAGAAAAGAAAUAGAAGUGAGAGAAUGGACGCCAUAGAUUCAGUGUUCAAUCCGCUUAGAGAGUUCGCCGACGACAAAGAGGUGCCAUAACCCCUAUCGCAAAGAUCUCAUGAAGAUGGUGUUCCUUACAUCGAUAAGGUUCGUGGUAUGGGAUUUGUCGGUUUUAUCGGGAAGCUGAUCUUCAUCCCGAUCAACAUCAUCAUCGUGGGAUCUCUCUAGGUAAGGCGGACUAUUUAAUCGCUUGAUGGACUCUGGUGUGCUUUUAUGCUUUUCAUUCGGACACUGUAAUUGCGUUUUGCCAAAUCCUAUAUAAUUUGCAAUUCAGUAAAUUCAUACGGAUAGAUCAAUAUAAAGGAAAUAUUUCGAGUAUAAAUUUGUAUAUCAAUCUUAACCACGAUACUUUGCUCUUCUGAUCUCAACAUCUUGCUGUCGAAGCCUCAUCUCUGGUUUUCCACGACCACUUCAAUUUUUUCUCUCUUAUCCUUUUCACUUUUCAUAUUGUCUAUGAUCCAAAUACUUCAAUUUUCUUUCAAUUUCUCACCAGCCACCAAACAAUUUUUUUUAGAAUAAUUAAUGUUUUAGUUAAUUAAUAUUUAAAUUUAUCACUGUAAUGAAUCUUUGAUCAUAUUUCUUUGCGCAAUGAUUGCAUUAAGAAUUUACUUCAUAGCGAAGAUAAUUGAAUUUUAGUUAUAGUUUAUAUGUUCCUGAAGAGAUUUGAUGUUUAGCAUACUCCGAUCUUUUGUUGCUUUUGAGAUCUUAAUUAUGGCUAGUACUAGACCAAUCUGGUAACUACCAAUUUUAUGGAUUGUUCAGCAUUUCUUAUUGUUGUUUGGUCUUGCACUCUUGCCUUUUCAUUAAUAUGAAUGCAGUGAAGUAGAUGAAAUCUUCAACACAUGAUAUAAUAGGCAGUGACAUGAUGGACUAAAUCUUGUGAGUGCUAUUAACUUUCCAUUUCCACGUCUGUUCUCCCACCCUUUUAUCUUUUCUCUUUGCCACUUCACUUUAGACAACUGGAUAUGUUGUUUUGCCUAUGCGUUCCGACAUCUGUAUCCAUCUGUUUGCAUGUUACCAUCAGCAAGUGAGGAAGCAGUAAACCUUGUUGGGUAAGUAUUAAUGUCGUAAACUAUAUAGUUGCCUGACCUUUGUGUUUCCCUCUCAACUUUUGGAGGCAUUUAUUUGCUUUGUUCCUGAGAGGUUGAGACUCACAAGCUCCUCUCAGCUGUAGAGGCCCUUCUGUAUCCUUUUUUCAGACCCUGUUGUGAGGUAUGCUUUUAGUGUGAAUAAAUAACAUAUAUAUAACCUUUUUCUUUAGUUUCUAUUCUGGUAAGGCAUUACUGUAGCCAUUCAUUGAUUGCAGUUCGCCAACUGAUGUAGUUUUUAGAACUACAGAUGUAAAUUUUGUGUAGGAUUGAACAACCAAAACCUAAUGUUAGUGAUUUGCUUUGAAUCUCUCUGGUAUGGUCGGAUAGGCUCACCUUCCCCUCUCAACCUACAAUGAAAUCCUAGUAAUAUUGGAAAACCUAGAAGCACAUAGGCUUCAUGGACAAAAAAACCUAAUUUAAAGGAAAUUCUACUCUAGUAACUGAUAAGGAUUGACCCUGCAUAACCUUUGUUGAACACUAUAGUCACAUUUGUGUCCUACAUUCACUUUGUUCCAGAACAGCAGCAAUUAUAACAGCCCCUCUGGUUUGUUGUCUUUGUUCCAACAUCUCUUUUAUCCGUGUUCUCAGAUUUGUAAUUGCAUGAAAGGUGUAGAAAUAUAAUUUCCACGUCACAGGUGGUACAAGGGUGGGCCUGGAGCAGCAAGAUGCGAGGAGAUAUCAUGGUGCUUUAUCAAAAUCAACACUAACUGUGGCAUUUUUCCUUCUCCCAAGUUACAUGCCUCUUUGAGCACAGGUGGUUCUCUGUCUUAGCUUCUGAAAAUUUGCACUGUUAAUUACAUGGCUGCAGGUAUUGGUGUGUUUGAAACAUGAUUUUAUCCGUGGUUGAAAAUUCUGGCACUGUGUUUUGAAAGAUGCUUUUCGUAAAAUCUUUCGAGUAAAAAUGUGUCUAGAACUUCAUUUUUUAAUCAUAGAACUUUUGAUCAUAUGCGGAAGUGGUAGAUGUACACCAUUGCCCGUUGUUAAUAUAAAUUACUUGUUAAAUUCAAUUUUCAUGAAGUUGUAUCUGGUUA